UCAAGUUUUCCUGUCUAAAUACUUGUUUUUAUGAAAGAGGUAAGUUGAAUGCACACAGACGAAAGGUUUGACGGCCAUCUCUCUCACCAAUCAUAAAACAGGUAAGUUGAAUGCACACAGACGAAAGGUUUGACGGACAUCUCUCUCACCAAUCAUGAAACAGGUAAGUUGAAUGCACACAGACGAAAGGUUUGACGGACAUCUCUCUCACCAAUCAUGAAACAGGUAAGUUGAAUGCACACAGACGAAAGGUUUGACGGACAUCUCUCUUGUAAUGAAGUUGAUUAAAUAAUUUUAUUAUGUAAUUACAAAGUCAAGAAAGAUUCUAAAGUUCAAAUGUUCGAAUGUUCAUAAAGUGUCUCUAAAGUUCAAUUGUUUGAAAGUUCAGUAAAUCGUCACACGGACACGUGAUCGUAUAGUGGUAUAACUGUUCGGUCCUGACUGAGUAAUUCGGAUGGUUAGUGAAUUAAUUCCAGCCUACCCACAAGGGGGAGACCUUGGCGGAAUCUCCUGUCGGAAUCCAUCUGUACGAAUCUAUCCCCGUUCGAGUCCAAAGCUGGAUCUUAUAUAGUUCAGUGGGCCAUUAAUCAUCUUUAAACUAUGGCCCAUAGCUGUUGGCAGGUUGCGUAGUAGUCUGGAUGUUGAAUUAUACUAGUCUGAGGUUAAUUGUCAAACAAUGCAAUUAACCUCUGCAUUAUACAUGUUAUUUAACAGUGGACAUUGUCAUUUACUGGCUGCAGGGUAUAUGUCUAUAAUAUUCGUACACAUUGUUAUUAAGUGUCUAAAGGGUAAAUGUAUUUGUUUCAGUUAUGCUAUAUUUGAUUACACCUUGAUAAUUAUUGUUAUAAAACACAUUGUGUUACAAAUGCCUUUCAUCCAAAUAGAACGAAAGUUCGGUAAAAUACGAUAGUUUUUCUUCCUGUAGGUUAUUAUAAAUUCUGUAGUUCCUUGUUAAGUCUUCUGUAACCAUCACCACAUAUAUAGUUCAUAAAAUUCGGCAAAUCCAACAUCUGGAUACAUAGAGUUCACAUGAUUCAUAAAGUUCAAGAUUUGGGUAUAUAUUGUGCAUACUUUUCCCCGUCACCAUUAUAGCAUAUUGUUCAUCAACUGCUGGAAAGGGCACACAUCUUUGUACACGUGUCAGUCAUCAUCAUUUCCAUUACGAAGUAGUUGACGCAUCUAGCUGGUUGGUUCAUCCUUCUUAAGAGGCUGUUAACAUCGGCCUUCGGUUAAGUUUUGUCCUUGAUCAAUGGCGCAGAGGAAGACAUCUCUCUGGAAUCAGUAACAUCUGUCCCAACCAAUCACGUAGACACCAUUUUGUACCCAUUGUUCGUGGCAUUAGAACCAAAACUCACACCUUCUUUUUGGCCAACCAAGAUAUAUUCUGAACAAAUUAACAGUACAAAAAUAUGGCUAUUCCAAUGAAGAUCGCACCUAAACCCCACUGAUAAACUUAUCUCAAUUUGGAAAAACUUAAACUUGUUAACUUCUUUUUUAUUUAUCAAUCGUUUGUUCAAUCGCCUUUAGUUCACUGGGUUAUUCAAGCCUAGCAAAAUUUAAUAAAACAAUUUCUCGGUAAAAUCAAUACGUUCUUUUAAAUAUCGAAUUAUCUGAUUAAAAAAAAAACAAAAGAGGGGAAAAAAAAACUGUCGUAUACAACUUCUACAAUUUUGAGAAUCCUACAUGAUAAAAACAAAGAUACGUUUAUUUACAUAAGACAUGAGAAACAUAUUUACAAAUCUACAAUCAAAUAAGUUUAAUUCGAUCAUUCUAUAUAACCCCUACACCUACAUGAUACCUAUAAAAAAAAUUUACUAAAAAUUAUAUGUGUUACUUUGUAACCAAUUGUAAUACUUUUACGUCUUUAACUUUAGUUUCUCAUUAAUUAAUCUUAAUGCUAAAUGUAGUCCACAAAUUUAUUCAGGCUCAUCACUCUUAAAAAUAUUUAAGAUUACAUUGAUAAAAUUUUAACUACGCCUUGUGCAAUUUGUUACUGACUCUAUAUUUCCUAUUUGACAACAACACCUUGUUGCGAAAAAAAAUGUCUUUCUCCGUAAUCGUUUACAUUUCCAAAAAAUGUAUAUAGUUUCCUCAUCAUAGUCUUUCCUUUCUUUUUUUUAUAUAUAUAUUUUUAAUUUGCUUUAAAACAUCAGCAACCUACUGCCUAUCCUUUUUAUACAUUUCAUUAUGAUUGAAUGUUUUUAUUCAUUCUAUUUUUUUUUUAAACUUGACUUACUUCUUAAAAACCAAAACAAUUUAAAGUUUGUUCUAUGCUUAUUUAUGAACAAAGCCCAUUGUUUAGACUCAUUUUUUGUUUUACUACUAAAUUAAUUAUUUUCUUAUUCUUAUUUUAAUUUCUGAUAAUUAUCCUCAUAAUUGUAAAAAGAAAUCAAUUUUAUUUUAAUGCUAGUUUUCCUUUAAUAUCAAUUAUCUAUUUCACUUAGAUUUUGUCAUUAGUCAUGAAGUUCAUAUGUCUCUCAUUUUUUUACAAAUAUCGAUCUACCACAAAAAUAUUGUAAAUCCCUUAGGGCAAAACAUAUCAACAUUUAUCUUUAAUGUGCUAUUUUCUGAAGAUACUUCUCUUUAUCUAUUAACAUUUAUGUUAUGUAAAUAAGGCGUAAUCUAACACCAUAAAACAACUUGCACCAUUUAAUUACUUAACAUCACUUAUUUUAAUCUUCCGAAGAAGGGGUUGGAAUCUAAAAUUAUAGACUAUUUGUUUUCUCUAAACAAAUGUGCGUAAACACUACCCAACUGCGUAAACCAUAAUCGUCAAUGGCUAUAACAUCGCAAACAUAUGAACCACAAUGUACCCUUAACUUCAAUUACCAAAGGUUCUAAUUCAACCUUCAUAUAUACCGGUGCUCUACUAAUUUUACGUAAAACAUAUGUUUUCUAGAAUAAUUGAGUGUAUCUUCCAAAAAAAAAAAAAAAAAACCCAUAAUAUGACCAAAAACCACCAUUGAAUACGGGGGAAAAUGCUUUAGUAUCAGACAUUUUAUAUUUUUUUUUUCCAUACAU